UUUCGGGAUUCGUGUAUUUUCUUUCAUUUUUGGUUUAAAAAGGAAAAAGGCCACAUUUUAGUGUUUUUUUAAUUUGCUAGGAUGGCAAAAACUUGUGUCGUUUGUGCCGCAUCAUGAUAAAAAGGUGAUUCAAGCCGAUCUUUUCACAAGAUUUCUGAUGCACUGGUUAAAAACACAGCAGCCGAUAAUUCAGUUAAUUUACCAAGUGAUUUACCCUUCAAAGCUGCAGGGGUAGUUUUCCUGAAGAGUGCAAAAAAUUCUUUAGCUUCCAAAUGGUAUAUAGUACAAACAGUGAAGCUAAUAUAGACACAUCUGAUCAUUCAUCAUCAACAAUAACUGCAUCUGAGAUUAAUAGUUACUGUGGGGUCUAGGUCACAAUUACUAUUUCUCAUCCAAGCCGUUUUUGUUUAACUGCUACACAUUUCCUGAC